UUCCAGCUCCCCCCAAGUUUCAUAAUAUCUAAACCUCCUCCUAAAUAAAGCAACUAAAAUAAUCAAAACCAUAGCAGAAAGCUUCAUUUAAUCAUUUGACUUGUAACCCUGAUUACUUACCUGCACCUUGUAUCAUACAAAAAAAAUGCAUGGUUAUUGCUCCUGACAUUAAAGGAAACUGUACAGCAUUGAACCUUUGCCUUUUUGUUACUGGAAACACAAAUCCAGUUUUUUUUUUUUUUUGACAAGCAUUCAUUUUUCAAUUAACAUGUUUUAUUUCAAAUUUAUUCUCAGUUGAAAUGAGUUACAUUUGCAGCUGAGGAAAGCAAAGAUGAAACUUAAUUCUUUUCUUUUGUGCUCAGCUGUACAAUUUAUUUUUCUCCUGGCAACAGAUUUUAAAUCUCUUUGCCUUUUUUUUUUUUUUUUUUUAUGGGAAAUUUUUAUUAAAUGCCCACACUAGGGCUGACAACGUUUUUUGUGUUUUUUUUUUUUUUUUUUUCCUUUUGCCUGGUUUCUGUGUCUGUGUGUGCAGGCAUGCAUUCAUUAACGUAAUUCCUCAACAUUCAACAAGAGUGCAUCAUAAACCAGAGGAAAAAAGCCUCAUAAAUAUUUAGAUCCUCCAUCUACUUUCCAAAACUAAAGUGAGAGAGUAUUUAGUGAGGACUUGGUUUGAGUUAAUCUGCAUAUGAACUGAAAGGGGGUACAAAAGGAUGAAAAGGUGGUGGAAACUAGCAUACAAACCCUGUUGUCUCCAGGGGGGCAUUCAUCUUGUUCUUGUCAAUACAAUCUCAGUCUUACUGCUUGGCUGUUUUCUGCGCAUGGCCCAACAGGCUGGCUUUGCUAAGGCAGUGUUGCAGAGGAUGUGAGAGCCUUCUUCCUAAUUUUGUUCUAUCAUGUAAUUUUUCCAGAGGAGAAGCUUUAAAACACUUCAUGUUUCGGAAGAAGAUGGAGAAAUCUCUCCAAACACUUCUCUACUUGUUUGUGGUCCACACUGACAUAGGAACUUCCCUUUUUUGAGUACAGAGACAGUGAGAUUCAGAUGCCUAUACAAGAGCUUGCAGCAGCUGUUCCAGAUGCCCUUUAAGGUGUCAGAGACAGCCAGACAGAGUGGGCUGAUGUGAUGAAGUGACCUGGAGAUCUGAGCAGGUACCAAACGGGAUACCAGAAGGCAACUGAAUCCUACCCUCCAUAGCGUUCAUAGUCUCCUAACAAAGAAUUACUGUAAUUCAGCAGUAAACUCAAAUAAUAAUGAGAUUAUUAGUAUUAGCUAAGUAAGAUUGUACAAUUGUGUGUAAGUGACUGUAGCUCCAAAUGGGCUCCAGUGACAGUCAAGCAAGGACUUACGAUGCACCAGUCUACAGCUGCCAAGGAAGAUAACAUGAGCCUUAGAAUGCCUCCUGUUUCUGUGAGGAGAUGCCAAAUCCACCCAAGUCAUAGUGGCACUGCUAUAACAGGUUUUCAUCCUUGCAUCUCAAAGUACUUUACUACAAUGUGUUUCACAGCUUCUGAAGAGUAGAAAACAGUGAAAUGGGGUAUGCUGUAACUACUGCUAGCAACUGUAUUCCAGGAGAGACCUCCCAUGCUCAGCAGAAAGACAAUGGGUAGGAGGAACAAAGGGGAGAGAAUGCCAUCUGCAAAUAAAACACAGUUUAGACUUCCAACAGUGUAAGAAAACUAUUCAAAAUGUGAGACUGAACACCAUCUCUGCUGUUUCCUUCUAGAGAAAAGGCACUAACACCCAUAAGCAGAUAAAGCAGACAACAAGCUUCUGAAUAUACUGUAGCAUGGAAGCAAAGUGGUCUUUGUGAGGGAGAUUGAUGACCGCUGGGCCCUGUCCUUUGCUUUGGAGAACCGCUGCUGAACAAGUCUCAUCUCCAGACACUUUUCAGGUUCAUAAUGCUCAGUUCCCUUCCUUCCACGCAGCUCUGUAACUCCAGAUGCUUCUCUUAUUUUUGCCACCAUUAGAUAAUAACAAAGAACUUA